CGCUAGCUACAGGCUUAACACAUGCAAGUCGAGGGGAAACGACAUCGAAAGCUUGCUUUUGAUGGGCGUCGACCGGCGCACGGGUGAGUAACGCGUAUCCAACCUGCCCACCACUUGGGGAUAACCUUGCGAAAGUAAGACUAAUACCCAAUGAUAUCUCUAGAAGACAUCUGAAAGAGAUUAAAGAUUUAUCGGUGAUGGAUGGGGAUGCGUCUGAUUAGCUUGUUGGCGGGGUAACGGCCCACCAAGGCGACGAUCAGUAGGGGUUCUGAGAGGAAGGUCCCCCACAUUGGAACUGAGACACGGUCCAAACUCCUACGGGAGGCAGCAGUGAGGAAUAUUGGUCAAUGGACGAGAGUCUGAACCAGCCAAGUAGCGUGCAGGAUGACGGCCCUAUGGGUUGUAAACUGCUUUUAUAAGGGAAUAAAGUGAGUCUCGUGAGACUUUUUGCAUGUACCUUAUGAAUAAGGACCGGCUAAUUCCGUGCCAGCAGCCGCGGUAAUACGGAAGGUCCGGGCGUUAUCCGGAUUUAUUGGGUUUAAAGGGAGCGUAGGCCGGAGAUUAAGCGUGUUGUGAAAUGUAGACGCUCAACGUCUGCACUGCAGCGCGAACUGGUUUCCUUGAGUACGCACAAAGUGGGCGGAAUUCGUGGUGUAGCGGUGAAAUGCUUAGAUAUCACGAAGAACUCCGAUUGCGAAGGCAGCUCACUGGAGCGCAACUGACGCUGAAGCUCGAAAGUGCGGGUAUCGAACAGGAUUAGAUACCCUGGUAGUCCGCACGGUAAACGAUGGAUGCCCGCUGUUGGUCUGAAUAGGUCAGCGGCCAAGCGAAAGCAUUAAGCAUCCCACCUGGGGAGUACGCCGGCAA
rnacentral:rRNA from 1 species